GCUCAGGACUGAACUGUGGUUCUGACAGCAGACUCAUAAUCUCAGAGUCGUGGGUUCAAACCCCAUGUUGGGCA